AUUGGGAGAGCGAGUCAAAAGGAAAGGAGAGCUGGGGAGACAGAGAGAAAGAAUGACAUAGCGAGAGGAUGAGUCAAACAGGUGUAGUAGUUGAGUAGUAGUGUUGUUUCAGUCUGGCUUCAGAGACAAGACUCAUUCCCUCCAUCAGAUUUCAAUGAGAGGCUACGUGAGUACCACUCCCUAGCUGUGCUAUUGAAACUGCCUUCCAAACACAGUCCAGUCCCCUCUUGAAAUGAGACAUACCAAUUACAAUGGCCUCCUAAUCCAGGGUAGGCAUCUCUCUGUCUUUAAAUUUCAAGAUAGGUUUGGCUAAGGUGGGGUUGGUUAAGGUGGGAGGGACAAUUAACUUCUUGCAAUUCUACACAUUUUGCCAUGGGGCAGUGAGGAAAAAUGUCCAGUUUUAUAGCUAAUCUCAUGCUAUUCUACACAUUUUGCCAUGAUGCUGAGAGAAAAUGUUAGGGUUUUAAAGCAAAUUUCCUGCAAUUCUACACAUUUUGGAGGUCGGGGCCCCAGGGCACGUGUAAUCAGGCCCUGUUUUUAGGCCUAGAUUCAAUCCAGGUAAUAGCAUGCUUGACAUUUAAAGGGGCAAUCUGCAAUUGCUACAUCCAUUUUGGGACUUUUACCUGCCACCCCCUUCAGUUUGCAUACCGCCACAACAGGUCCACAGACGAUGCAAUCGCCAUCACACUGUACACUGCACCUAUCCCAUAUGUACAAGAGGAAUACUUAUGUAAGAAUGCUGUUCAUUGACUACAGCUCAGCAUGUAACACCACAGUACCCUACAAGCUCAUCAUUAAGCUUGAGGCCCUGAGUCUCAACCCCGCCCUGUGCAACUGGGGUCAUGAACUUUCUGACGGGCCGCCCCCAGGUGGUGAAGGUAGGAAACAACAUCUCGACUUCGCUGAUCACUGAACACUGGGGCCCCACAAGGGUGUAUGCUCAACCCCCCCCCCCCUCCCCUCAUCGUGGACUUCAGAAAACAGCAGAGGGAGCACCCCUCUUUCCACAUCGAUGGGACAGUAGUGGAGAAGGUGUAAAGUUUUAAGUUCCUCGGCGUACACAUCACGGACAAACUGAAAUGGUCCACCCACACAGACAGUGCGGUGAAGAAGGCGCAACAGCCCCUCUUCAGCCUCAGGAGGCUGAAGAAAUGUGGCUUGUCACCUAAAACCCUCACAACCUUUUACAGAUGCACAAUUGAGAGUAUCCUGUAGGGCUGUAUCGCCGCCUGGUAUGGCAACUGCACCACCCUCAACCGCAAGGCUCUCCAGAGUCUGGUGUGGUCUGCACAGCGCAUCUCCGGGGGAAAACUACCUGCCCUCCAGGACACCUACAGCACCCGAUGUCACAGGAAGGCCAAAAAGAUCAUCAAGUACAACAGCCACUGCCUGUUCACCCCGCUACCAUCCAGAAGGCGAGCGGGUGGUGCGGUCAGCCCAACACAUCACCGUGAGCAUCUCAGCACCCGGUGUCACAGGAAGGACAAAAAAGAUCAUCAAGGACCUCAGUCACCCGACCUGCGGCUUGUUCACCCCGCUACCUAGAUAGAAGACAGAGACGGAACAGGUGCAUCAAAGCCCCCCUCCAUUGUCAUAUUCUUUAUUGUGUUCUCUCAUUGUACAUUUUGUUUUAUGUAGUAGCCGGGUUCCUUCAUAUUCAUUCUAUCGAAGAUGUAUUUCUUGUCUGCUAUAUUUAGAACACACAUCAAGAGUUCAAAUAGUAGCUGAAAUAGUGGCUUCAGUGGGGCUUCUGUAUAGUUUAGCCUUUGUGAAAUUCUUGAGUCUUUUCAUAUUUUCACCAUCAACAACCCCCAGGCAUUAAACAAAUAAUGAUAGGACUUCAACAAAAGAUAACAUCACAUGCCUCAAAGCAUUUGGUUCUUUUGUCCUUGACUUCUGGGGGAAGACACACUAGUACAGCUGCGAUCAAAUGGAGCAAAACCACCCGAGAGAUUAUACAAUUUUCCAUGCAAAAAGUUCCAAAGCAAUAAAAAUGAAUAGAAAACACAGGGCGGCCUGCACACAAAAGCCCUCAUUGUUGUGUGGUAAAGGAAUGUGUCUCUGACUGUGUCAGAGGUUGUGUGGAAUUUGUUUAUGCAUGGAGACAAAAGGCUGCCUAUGACUGUGGGAGAACUGCACCCAGCACCCAGGCAACCUGCUCCUACACUGGGAGGAAAGGCUAGCUAGCUCACUAAUUUUGGCCAUGUGGAUCUCAUUUGUUUAAUUUCCAUUAGACCGGCUGACGCACUGCCCAAUUUCGGACCUCUAGUAAAAAAAAAAAGAAGGUGUAUAAUCCUCUUGUCCCCACUCCAUUUGGUUGUUGCCAUGGAAACUACGUCACCCUCGAUCCAAAAUGGCUCUACUAUCAUGUGGGCAGUGGAGGCGAACCACAAGAAAGAAAAUAAACUCUAACUGUACGCUCUGAUA